CGGACGGGUGAGUAAUGUAUGGGGAUCUGCCUGAUGGCGGGGGAUAACUACUGGAAACGGUAGCUAAUACCGCAUAAUGUCUGCGGACCAAAGCGGGGGGACCUCCGGGCCUCGCGCCAUCAGAUGAACCCAUAUGGGAUUAGCUUGUAGGUAAGGUAACGGCUUACCUAGGCGACGAUCCCUAGCUGGUCUGAGAGGACGAUCAGCCACACUGGGACUGAGACACGGCCCAG
rnacentral:rRNA from 1 species